GGGCUUCCCUCAAUGGCCACGAUUCCGCUGGCACAAUGUAGUGCCCUGCCCCGGGCCUCAGUUUCCCCAUCUGUGGAACUGAGUGUGGCCUCGACGUCAAAAAUGUGGACUCUGGUCCGGUCGCGGUGGCUCACGCCUCAGCCUCAGCACCCCCUGGGAGCUCGAGACAUCUAAGGAGUUGACUGAGGCCCCUCCCUGACAUACUGAAGCGGAAUCUGCAUUUUAGCAAGAUCUGCAGGAUCUCUGGUCAGAACUAGUCACAAGAUCUUCCCUAACUGCCAGAACACUGGGAAAUGAAAGGGAACAAUGGAAUCAUUGGCGAGCAUUACUGUCUCUGCUCCAGGGUGGCUCAUAGACUCAAAUGAAAAUGCUGGAGCCUCAGAUUUGGGACUGAGUGUGGACCAGAGAACUUGGGAGACCUUGCCAGCAGCAGCUUAUGGAGGUCUGGUCAGGCUGUCAUCCAUUUUCAGCUAUCUGUCACCCUCUCAGGAUUUGCACUGGAGAAAGAGUAAGAGGAGAGAGAGAGAGAAACAACUGAUUGGCCCAGGAGGGUUCUAUGUCCCACUUGAAACACAAGUUAAUGGACAACUUGAUUGACAGAGUUGCACUAAAAGGUGGUGGGGGGAGUUCAUCCAAACAAAACUGGGGUGCUGUUACAACAAGAGAGGGAGGGUAGGUGCAUAGUGAGCAAAAGCACACACUUGCUGCAGAGCUGGUCCAAAUACCCACUCUUCAGAGUUGACAUCAUCUGGAAGGUUUAUAGAAGUGGGGGCUUUCCAGAUUAGCUUUAGAGGAUGGGAUAACUGAUGCAGAGGAAAGGUAAUGCAGGCUGAGAGGCCCGUGUAAGCACAGUGAAGCUGCAGAAGAGUGCAAUCAUUUGCAAGAAAGAGAAGGCUGGCUGGGUGCAGCGGCUCACACCUGUAGUCCCAGCACUGUGGAAGGCCGAGGCGGGAGGAUCCCUUGAGCCCAGGAGUUUGAGACCAGCCUGUGCAACACAGGGAGAUCCUGUAUCUACAAAAAAUUUAAAAAUUAGCCAGGCAUGGUGGUGCAUGCCUAUAGUCCUAGCUACUCGGGAGGCUGACGUGGGAGGAUUACCUGAGCCUUGGGAGGCUGUGGCUGCAGUGUGUCAUGAUUUUGCCACCACACUCCAGCCUGGGCAACAGAGUGAAACCCUGUCUCAAAAAAAAAAAAAAAAAAAAAAAGAGAAGGCCAUUGAGAUUGAACAGAGGAUAUGAUUUGCAGUUACAUUUUCACCCCAACUUACCCAGCUUAUCUUUCCUUCCCGUGGUGUCAACUCAGGGGACGCAAAUGGGUGGAGGCUGGUUGGAAUGGCUCAUACUACAUCAUGAGAUUGGAGCCUGGUCCUCCAUGUUGGCUGAGAGUCUCAGUUCUCCUCCACGUGGCCUCUCCUUGUGGUCAGCUUACAUUUCCUCAAAACGUGGCAGUCUCAGGGCAGUUGGGUUUCUUGUGUGCUGGCUCAGGGCUCCGGAGAGGAUAAAAUCAGAAUAUCUUGUUCUUCCUCAGGCUUGGGCCCAGACUAGCACAGCAUCAUUAUCUUUUUAUUCUGUGAGUUAACAUAUUUCAGAGGACCAGUGCAGAUUCAGAGUGGAGAGGGCUGCAUAAGAACACGAACACUGGGAGGUGGCUUCAUUUGGGGCCAUCUUUGGAGACCAACUAUGAUGCAUGAUGUAACUGACCUGAAUUCCCAAGCUUCUACCCCCAGCUCCAGCAUAAGGUAGGUAAGAAGUGACUGGCAACGUAAGUGGGUCAUGUUGGAGGAAAGGUAAGUCUGGAGCUAGGCCUUACAGGUGUUCAGUGCCACAGAUGAAAAUGAUGGUGCUAGGGAAGAGGUAGUGCAGGAGGUCUUUCUCUUCAUGGGCCUCUUCCCAGAUUUCCCCUGUGGAUCUUGUUGGCCAAAACUGAAUCACAUCAGCACCUCUUACUGCAAGGAAGCCUGGGCAAGUCAGAAUCCGUGAAAGGGAAGUGGGAUUGUUAUUUCUGGCCUAAGUCAACCCUGAUUCAUUCUCCAGGCAUGUGUGGGCCAUUGCAGCCUGAAUUAAUCAGGAGGGAAGAAGAAGUGCGAUGAUAACUGGCCAGUGAUACACAGUGGGAGGUCAGUACAAACCUACCCCAAAGGCCGAGGAAGCUGAGAGGUUGAAGAAAGAGGCUGACAAACCCAGUUUUUCAGAGACAAAUUGUUGUUGUUGUUGUCGUUGUUGUUUUUAGAGACAGGGGCUUACUGUCACCCAGGCUAGAGUGAAGUGAUGUGAUCAGAACUCACUACAGCUUUAAACCUCCUGGGCUCAAGCAGUCCUCCCACUUCAGCCUCCCGAGUAGCUGGGACUACAAGUCACACACCACCACACCUGGCUAAUUUUUUUUUAAUGUUUUGUAGAAACGGUCUCACUAUGUUGUCCAUGUUGGCCUCAAAGCCCUGGGUUCAAGUGAUCCUCCAACCAUGGUCCCCCAAAGUGUUGGGAUUAUAGGCUGGAGCCAUGGCUUCCUAGAAAGAAGCAUUUAACUGGGACUUGUGAACAGAAGCCACAUAUCCAGUGGCUGAGAAAUAGCAGUCCCCUGUGCUGCUACCUCCCAGCCCCAAGACCAGGGCUUAUAUACCAUAGGGAAAUUGCCUAAGGGCAGGAUUUAUGAUUAGCAUGUGUUUACAAUAACAUCAAGGUUGUUUUGACCUAAGGGCAGGCUUUGCAGUAAGUAGAGAUCUUAGAGGCAUUCCUGCAACUGUGGUGAAUCUUAAGUCAACAUGGUGGAUCUGCAUCCAAAAUGGAGUUGCUUUCGCCUCACAGUAGGCAACAUACAGAGGAUGUCACAAGCAACAAAAAACAGGGAAAGCAGCUUGGAGGAUAUAGCUUUACUUCAGGUGAGAGGAGGGUGGGGCUGGACCAGGGCAGAAGCAGCAAGGAGUGGGAAAUAAGCCAGAUGUGAAAAUGAACACAGAAGUGGAGGGUACUGCGUGGAAUACUAUGCAGCCAUAAAAAAGAAUGAAAUCAUGUCCUUUGAAGCAACAUGGGUGCAGCUGGAGACUGUUAUCCUCAGUGAAUUAACACAGGGACAGAAAACCAAAUACUGCAUGUUCUCGCUUAUAAGUGGGAGCUAAACAUUGAACAUGCAUGGUCAUUAACAUGGGAACAAUAGACACGAGAGACUUCUAAAGGGAGGAUGGUAGGAGGGGGCAAGAGUUGAUAUGCUUCCUAUUGGGUACUAUGCUCAGUACCUGGGUGAUGGGGUCAUUUGUACCCCAAACCUCAGCGACACACCAUUUACCCAUGUGACAAGCCUGAACAGGUACCCCCAAAACCUAAAAGCUGGGAAAUAAGAAAAGAAGCAGAGUGCACAGCCCAUGGCUGCUAUGACUGUCUUUCACAAGCGAGAAUGGGAAAGAGAGACAGAGAGGGAAGUCAACAAUGACAACAUCAUUUCCAGCUUGCUUAAUUGGAUGGUGACACCAUCCAAGCACAGAAGUUAGCUCGCGAGAGACAAUGACUUUGCCCUAGGCAUUCUGAGGGCAAGAGGUGUGAGAGAACAUGCUCAAGGUGUGGAUCAUGAAACACGAGGGCAUGGGGCCAGGUCGGGGGGCUCACGCCUGGAAUCCCAGCACUUUGGGAGGCCGAAGCAGACGGAUCACAUGAGGUCAGGAGUUCGAGACUAGCCUGGCCAACAUGGCAAAACCCCAUCUCUACUAAAAAUACCAAAAUUAGCUGGGCGUUGUGGCAGGUGCCUGUGAUCCCAGCUACUUGGGAGGCUGAGGCAGAAGAAUCGCUUGAAACCGGGAGGUGGAGGUUUCGGUGAUCCGAAGUGGCACCACUGCACUCCAGCCUGGGAGACACAGUGAGACCACCCUGUCUCAUAAAUAAAUAAAUAAAUAAAUAAAUAAAUAAAUAAAAUACUAGGGCAUGGGAGAAAGGACAGGGCUAGAUGUGGAGACUUUAAAUGACCAAUGCAGAACUGUAGUCAACGCCAUGCUAUGGGCUGGGUGCAGUGGCUCAUGGCUGUAAUCCCAGCACAUUGGGAGGCCAAGGUGGGAGGAUUGCUUGAGCCCAGGAGGUCAAGAAUAACCUGGGCAACAUAGGGAGACCACGUCUCUACAAAACAAAAUAAAACCAAAACAAAAUCGUCACACUAUGGAAUGAUGUGUCUGCUUGUACCAGGUCUGGAAGAAUGCACACCCAAUGCUCACAGAGGUUCCAUCUGGGAAAUCGGAUUGGACAGGGCCAGAAUAGAUCCAGGGGAAACAUUCACUGAAUAUAUAUACUUAUGUAUUGUGGAAGCUUUGAUGGUGGUCAUGUACCCAAGAAGGGAAAAAACAGACUGCGGAACUGCCCAUGAGGCCAAGCACCUAUUAGUAGACCAAGAAGCAUCACCCAACUGUGGCCUAAGUCGGCAGCCAGCUAUUGUUCUCAUCUGAGUCUGGGAGUUCAGGAUUUCCAUCCUGACCCGGCUACUUUCUUUCAACAGUUACCCACUGUAAAUUUCCGAAUACUUUCAGCUACUAAUCCCAGUGUACCCAAUUAAAAAUGGCUUUCCUAAUAAAGGCAUUUCAGAUCGAA